CCCCCCCCCCCGCGCUUUUAAAUCAUUAGUCAUUAUUGUUUCACAGAACAUGGUCUUUGCUGCCAUUAAGGAACCUGUGAGGCUGGGGUGCAUGCUUUUAAUCGAGCAUGCUCUUAAUCCCAGCACUCAGGAGGUAGAGGCAGGUGGCUUCUAUGAGUUCCAGACCAGCUUGGUCUAUAAUUGUGAGUUCCAGGACAUCCAGGGCUAUGUAGAAAGACCCUAUCUUAGACCAGCAGACAAACAAAAAUCCAAAGGAACAGACAGAUAAAGUCCCUGUGUGAUCUUGAACCAGUAACUUUGUAUCUCUGAGUCUAGUAGCAUUUAUCUCAUGGUAUAAAAGUGCCUGUAGCGGGAGCGAGAACCCGCCAGUUCAGCCACAGAGAGAAAGCUCAGUGGUGAAGUCCAGCCGACUGUGUCACUCCCUGGAGUUAUCAUGAGAAGGCAGGAAGUGUAAACACCCUCGGCACACGUGCACUCGGUCACCAUCGGUGACUUGGUAAGUGCUCGGCCAGCAGUUGACAAUGUCUCACUGGAGCCGGACUUCCUGAAUUCGAACUCCGUAGUGUACUUCAUAUUGGUAAAUUGACAUGUGCUGCCGGAGCUGCUUGAGAAGCUGGCUCUGGGAAUGGAUUUGCCAACUCCCCCCCCCCUUGACCUCCCCCUCCCGGCCAACUUCAGACUCAAGCAUGUUUGUCUCAAAGUGUCCUCUAAGACCCUGUGUCUAGAGAUAGGCUGGACCCCCCUGACUGUGACAGGGAGAGAGGAGAACAGCAAAACAGCCCAAGAGUUAAAACACUGUGUUCUCGAGGGCAACUAGAAGGUGACCCAUUUCCAUCAGAGGUCACUGGUGUUAUCUCCUGAUACGAAAGUGCCUGCAGCGGGAGAGAGAACCCACAGGUUCAUCCGUGGAGAGAUAGCUCGGUGGAGAACUCCAGACGACUGCCUGACCCACUCCAGUCGGUUUCUGCUGGAUACCAGGCAGAGUCUCCUACUGGCCUGGAAUUCACCAAUUUGGCUAUAUUGGCUAGCCAGCAAGCUCCAGGGACCCUCCAGUGCGGGAAUGACAAGCACCUUAUUAUUCUGGAUACCCCAGUGAUGGAACAACCUCCAAGGAGCAAGAGGUUCAACUCACAGAAGAAGAGCAAGUUGUCUGAGUGGAGCUCUGCAGUCAACUUUUGACAUUCCAUUUGGAAGCCGUGUAACGGAACUCGAGUAGGUCCAUGGCAAUGGACUUGCAGGCAGGUUCCUUUCUGGAAAGAGAUAGUAUGGAAUCAUGAACACCACAGCUAUCUUCCCAGAGAAUCAAAGCAUUAAUUUUGAAGAGCUGUUGGGUGGAGAAGAGGGUAAUUAAUGGCGCCUAUCUGGGAGAUGAGCUUGCAUAAUCCAGUCCUUGCCUACGAGCAGUUGAAGAUUCAGCGCUGAAAAAUGGCAGUCAUGGUCCUGAAGAGUGGAACUGGUCACUGAGGCAGCACCAGAUCCUGGAGAUUGAUCCGAAGAUCUCAUGCAUGCUAGACAAACAGUCUUCCUUUUGUAAAACGGCAGUAGAGAGACCUUGGUGGGUUGGAGCCAAGGUGCCUCAUGGCAGAUACAUGCCCCCUGUGAGCCCCUUGGCAUUCCGCAAUGCAGAUGACUUGAUGGGCCCAGCUGCCUGACCAUGAGGGGCAAGUACUGUGGAUUUCCCCCACCCAGAAGAAAGGGGAAGAAGUGAUCCUGUGCCCUCUGACUCAUCCAUUUCUGCCAGGGUUGUUAUAUCUCCUCCCAGACUGAAGACACCACUGUCAUCUUUGACUCUGCCGUCACUGCCCUCCCUUUUGAGUCUCUGUCAUAGCUUUAUCUGGAGAUCUGAUAGACUUUGCAACACGGAGAGGGUGCUCGAUGGAGCUGCAGAUGAUCGUGACCUAGCUCCAGGCAUUAUGUCCCAGGCAUUCCUCCAUUCACUAUUAAUCCUGGAAUGAGUCAUCUCCCAUGAGCCCAUCAGGCAGUCACACAGUAGCAGGACACUGGGUGGCAGCCAGUCUGUGAUUGUGUUUAGUUAGGCAGUAGCCUGAGGGAAGAGAGACUAUAUUAAUUAUUUUCUAGUCAUGACUUGUCUGAAUGCCUCACCGAAACCACAGAAGGGGGGAAGGAUUUAUUUUGGCUCCUGGUUUUGGAGGGCUUAGUCCAUGGUGGCUUACCUUGGUGUGCUUGGACAGAAUAUCACUCAGGGUGGCUGGAAGGUGUGGUAGAGGACCCUCUUCAUCUCACUGUGAACGGGAUGUAGAGAGAGGAAGUACAGGGAGGGGCCAGGGGAAGAUACAGUCGUGUGAUGACUCAUUUUAAUGUCAAUGUGUCCCAAAUUAGAAUCUCCUGAUAAGGAGCAAGCCCUUAACUGAAGAACUGUCUUCAUGGCCUUAACUGAGGUGGGAAAACCCACCCUGAGUGUAGACCUCAGCUUCUGUUAGCAGCCCACCUAAACAGGGCGUGGCAGAAGGAAGAUUACUGCCUUUUGCUGGAUUGGAUUUCCCUCUUGGUAGCGAAUUGAUCUGCUUGUUGCGGCUGCUGCUGCUCCUGAUUCCAUUUGCUGACACCAGAACCAGCCCUUCAGGCUUCCAUCACUGACUAAGGACCUUAGGUAGCUAUCCAGGAACCUUCCAGGUUUUCAGCAUCUGAUUGGUACUGCCAAGCUUCUUGGCCUUGAGGGUUGAGAAACUACUGGGUUGUAGGCCUCUCCACAGUGAGAAAGCCACAGAGGGGACACUCCAGGUGCGAGUCCCUGAGUCUCGAGGACUGAGCAACUACUGGGUUCUCAGGCUCUUGGGUAUGAUUCAUCUGCUGUUACUAUUUCAAAAUACUCUGGUUUAAUAAAUUGUACAUACAUACAUAACAUAAUUGUCUGAGGAUGGGAGGGCAGGGGUACAUGUAUAUGAGGAGCGUGUGUGUGUGUGUGUGUGUGUGUGUGUGUGUGUGUGUGUGUGUGUGUCUAUGCAUGUGGAAGCCAGAGGACAACAUGGGGUGUCUUAGUUUUUGAGACAGUCUUUCAUCAGACCCCAGAGCUCGCUGAUUCAGCUAGGCUGGCUGGCCACAGAGCCUCAGGGGUCCUCCAGGUUCUCCUUUCCCAGCUCCAGGAUUACAAGUGUGCACCACCAUGGUUGACCUUCGUGUGGGUUCUGAGGGUUGAACUUAGGUCCUCAUGCUUGUGUGACAAGUGUGUUACUAAGCUAUCUCCUCAGCCACCUGAAGUUUUGACACCCUCCCAGGGUAGUUCCAGAAAUCAGGGAACAAGCAGGCAGCACAUAAACUCGUGAGGCAUAUUUCAUAUGUAAGUCAUAACACAGCCAGCCAGCUCAUGCCCAACAGCACUUAGGUCAGGCUCUGGCUGGAUACAUACCUUGGAACACUUGGUGAGGCUUGAGACUGGCACUAAGGAGUAGACUUGUUAGCUGUGUCUGUGGAGGUGUUCACUGGAAGGAGAAGGAAGAGAAGACUGCUCCUUGGAGCGCCUCCACAAAGCUAGACCGAGAUCUGGAGAACUGACACAGGGCAAUUCCAAAUGUGGGCUGGAAUGCAGAGUUCAAGCAAAAAAAAGAGUGAUUUUGUGCUAAGACCCCAGGCCACAACAUUGGGGUUAGACGGGUGCCCUGGUUUGCUGAGAGCGAACACAAAACCCUGCAAAAGAAUGAGCUUGUGCAUACACAUAUGCAUGUGUGCAUGUGUGUAUAUACAUGUAUGCAUGUGUGUGCAUACACAUGUGUGCAUGUGUGUGCAUAUACAUGUGCAGGCCAUAAGACAAUCUCCGUUCUCACCUUGGUUUUUUAGACAGGGUUUUUCACUGGCUUGGAUGUCACCGAGUAGGCUAGGCUGGCCAGCUGUUGAGCUCUACCUCUCCAGUACUGGGAUUGUAAGGGCAGGCAACCAUAAUUGGCUUUUUCAUAAUGGUUCUGGGGAUCAAACUCAGGUCCUCAUGUUUGCCUGGCAAGUACUUUAUUGACUGAGAUAUCACCCCAACUCACAUUAUUAGCCUUUUAUCUGGGAGCCCUGGGAUCAUGAUCCCUGAGACCCUGGGAAGCCUGAGGAUAGAAGAUCCUUUUUCCCUCCCUCCCUUUCUUCCUCCCUCCCUCCCUCUCUCCCUCCCUCUUCCAUUUUAUCCCUUCCAAGUAAAUUCCAAUCUACAUUUUAAACCCUAAUCGGACAGUCCCCUUCCCCAAUUCACUCAGUACAUGCAUCAGUACACAGAAUUCUUUGAAGAUAAGGAAUCGUGUUUCAUCACACAACCCACUGGUGGGUAGGGAUGAAGUGGGUGGCUGGAAGGUCAUGCUCUAUCUCCACAAGGGUGGCAUGCCUCAAAGACAUUUACAGGUGUACAUAAGUUACAGCCAGAGAGGGAGACUUCAUGGAGCUCUCAACACAGAUGUUCUCAGUGCUGUCCCAAAUGUUGCUUACUUUGAAACGGACAAAGAAUUCGGAAGAGUUGAACUCUGUAAUGCUCAGCUUCUUGGCCAAUCAUCAUUUUGUUGGUUUUGUUGCUGUGGGAUGUUCUGUAUGGCAAAUGUGUUGCUAAUUAGUCAAUAAAUAAAACACUGAUUGGCCAUUGGCUAGGCAGGAAGUGUAGGUGGGGCAAAGAGGAGAAUAAAGCUGGGAAGUGGAAGGCUGAGUCAGAGAGACACUGCCAGCUGCCACGAUGAGAAACAGCAUGUGAAGAUGCCGGUAAGCCACGAGCCACGUGGCAAGGUAUAGAUUAAUAGAAAUGGAUUAAUUUAAGCUGUAAGAACAGUUAACAAGAAGCCUGCCACGGCCAUACAGUUUGUAACCAAUAUAAGUCUCUGUGUUUACUUGGUCGGGUUUGAGUGGCUGUGGGACUGGCAGGUGGCAGAGAUUUAUCCUGACUGUGGGCCAGGCAGAAAAACUCCAUCUACAAAUGGCGUCCAACGUGGUGGCAAGAGUUUCCACCUAAAACCUGAGAAAAGAUUCUAAAACGGAACUAAAAACAGUUCCUAAUUGUCUCUCUCAAAUGAGCGGCAGCUGCUGGUUUGAGCUACUGGUAGGUUCCUGGUGUGUGUGUGCUCGACCUGCAGUAUGGAGGAAUGAGGCCUCUGCAAGUGGCACAUUAAGCUGCAUGGUGGAUUUAGCCUUUACUAGUACAAAACAAAAAAAGAGGUUUCUGGGCUACACGUUGCUUGGCUAAAAGAAUAGACCCACGAUAGCUCCCAGAGCCGGCGGUAAACCACCACCAUGUUGGGAAGCUGAGGUGGGCGGAGCCAGCAGCCACAGCUGCUGCAGUUUAAGGCAAUAGAUUCACAAUAAGACAGAUUCAGAUGUAAUAGUUUACAAUGUGUGUAAAAGAUACGUAGGCUUGAAAGAGACAAAAAAGGUGAUAUAUAGAGUUAUAGAAACAAAUACAUAGUUUUAAAAAAUAAAGUCUUUAAAGAGACAGUAAAGGUAGUAUAAAAAAUAAGCCACGUAAAAAUGGAUAUUACACAGAGAAUCUGGACUGUGUUGUCUUUGGGAUUUUUAACUGCAGAAAAACAUUUGAUUGUAAAAGCUGUUGAGUUAAACCAAUAUAUAUAUUUUAAAGAUACCUUGACUUCAAAAUUUGGAUAUAAGGAUAUGUUGCUUUGGAAAAGAGUCUCUUUUGUUUCCACAGAAAGCCAGAGGCUAUGGAUUUGUUCCAGAUUAAGAUAUAUCAGGUUUGACCAGCCAAGACCCCCUGAAAGGUCUCCGAUGACACCAUGGUUGGUAUUAAGAUUAAAGGCAUGUGUAUCCAAUAAUGGUUGUAUCCCUGAACACACAGAGACUUACCCAGCUCUGCCUACUAAGUGCUGGAAUUACAAGCGUACGCUACCACUGCCCUGCUUUCCUAUGGCUUGCUAAUAGCUCUGACCCCCGGGCAACUUUAUUUAUUAACAUACAAAUAACAUUUUAAUACAAAUAAAAUAUCACCAUAUUUUGUUACUUGUUCUUUGAAUUUUUUUUUAAGAUUUUCUUUUCUUCUUUUCUCUCCCUGCCCCUCAUUUUUUUUUCAAGACAGGGCUUCUCUGUGUAGCUCUGACUGUUCCAGAACUCUCCCUAUAGACCAGGCUGGCCUUGAACUCAUAGAGAUCUGCCUGCCUCUGCCUCUAGAGUGCUGGAAUUAAAGGUAUGCACUACCUGGAUGAGAUUGGGCCUUUGGUGUGUACUUCUGUCUGCUCUGGGCUACUUGUGGUGAUUCUCCUGUCUCUACCUCUGAAGUGCUGGGAUGCUGGGAACCCACACCUGUAAUCCUAGCAUUUAGAAGGAUGAGGCAGGAGGAUUGCUAGCCCAGGCUACAGAGCAAGACCCUGUCUCAACAAAACUAAACAAACAUAGCAAGAAAGCCACCUGAGAUGAAUAAAUCAAGUUCUAAGUUUGCAAGACUCUGGCUGGUAAUAAUUUCUGGGAACGGUGCUCAAACUAGCUCUGUUUCUUUUCCAGGGCGUCUAAUAUUUCAAAGGCAUGGUAACUGCAUACAUACAAAAGUGUAAUAUACAUUCAUAGCUUGUGCAUAUGAUGGUAUGUGUUCAAUGAUAUUUGGUCACUGAAUAAAGAAGAUUUGGUACUGUG